ACGCGAGGAACCUUACCAGGUCUUGACAUCCCACUGCCCGGUAUAGAGAUAUACCUUUCCCUUCGGGGACAGUGGUGACAGGUGGUGCAUGGUUGUCGUCAGCUCGUGUCGUGAGAUGUUGGGUUAAGUCCCGCAACGAGCGCAACCCUUGAUCUUAGUUGCCAGCAUUCAGUUGGGCACUCUAAGAUGACUGCCGGUGACAAACCGGAGGAAGGUGGGGAUGACGUCAAAUCAUCAUGCCCCUUAUGACCUGGGCUACACACGUGCUACAAUGGAUGGUACAAAGGGCUGCGAGACUGCGAAGUUAAGCGAAUCCCAUAAAACCAUUCUCAGUUCGGAUUGCAGGCUGCAACUCGCCUGCAUGAAGCUGGAAUCGCUAGUAAUCGCGGAUCAGCAUGCCGCGGUGAAUACGUUCCCGGGCCUUGCACUCACCGCCCGU
rnacentral:rRNA from 1 species